GGGGAUAUAGCUCAGUUGUUAGAGUGCUUGCCUUGCAUGCAUGAGGCCCUGGAUUCAAUUCUUAGCACCA
rnacentral:tRNA from 1 species